rnacentral:rRNA from 1 species
CCAAUAGCGUAUAUUAAAGUUGUUGCAGUUAAAAAGCUCGUAGUUGAAUUUCGGGAUCAGUACGCUGGUCGUGCCUUUGGUAUGUACUGGUGUCACUGAUUCCUCCCUUCUGAAGAACCGUUAUGCCAUUUAUUUGGUGUGGCGGGGAAUCAGGACUGUUACUUUGAAAAAAUUAGAGUGUUUAAAGCAGGCUCGCGCUUGAAUACAUUAGCAUGGAAUAAUGAAAUAGGACGUUUGAUCUUAUUUUGUUGGUUUCUAGGAUCGACGUAAUGAUUAAUAGGGAUAGUUGGGGGCAUUAGUAUUCAAUUGUCAGAGGUGAAAUUCUUGGAUUUAUUGAAGACUAACUACUGCGAAAGCAUUUGCCAAGGAUGUUUUCAUUAAUCAAGAACGAAAGUUAGGGGAUCGAAGACGAUCAGAUACCGUCGUAGUCUUAACCAUAAACUAUGCCGACUAGGGAUCGGAUGAUGUUAAUUGAAUGACUCGACGGGCAGCCUCCG